UUGCGCAUGGGGGCAACCCUGNCGCACAACGCCGCGUGAGUGAUGAAGGCCUUCGGGUCGUAAAGCUCUGUCAGGCGGAAAGAAUGUUUCCAGGGUGAACAAUCCUGGAGAUUGACGGUACCGCCAGAGGAAGCACCGGCUAACUCCGUGCCAGCAGCCGCGGUAAUACGGAGGGUGCUAGCGUUGUUCGGAAUUAUUGGGCGUAAAGAGCGUGUAGGCGGCCUCGUAAGUCAGAUGUGAAAGCCCUUGGCUUAACCAAGGAAGUGCAUUUGAAACUGCUUGGCUUGAGUACGGGAGGGGAAAGCGGAAUUCCCGGUGUAGAGGUGAAAUUCGUAGAUAUCGGGAGGAACACCGGUGGCGAAGGCGGCUUUCUGGACCGAUACUGACGCUGAGACGCGAAAGCGUGGGGAGCAAACAGGAUUAGAUACCCUGGUAGUCCACGCCGUAAACUUUGGGCACUAGGUGUUGCGGGUAUUGACCCCUGCAGUGCCGAAGCUAACGCAUUAAGUGCCCCGCCUGGGGAGUACGGUCGCAAGACUAAAACUCAAAGAAAUUGACGGA
rnacentral:rRNA from 1 species